rnacentral:lncRNA from 1 species
UUUUUGUUUUAUAAUUUUUUUUCAUUUUAAUAUUAUUUUGUUUGUAUUUAUAGUUGACAUUUGGUGCAUGUAUGAAUGACUAUUAUAAAUAUUUAAAGUAUAAAUAUCAUUCUAUGCGGUUAUGAAUAUACAUGAAUCUCAGAUUUAAGAUAUGAUAUUUUAGUUUCAGAAUCUUCCUUAUUGUUUUGCUUUAUGAUUUGUUUGAUUUGUUUAAG